CCUACGGGGUGCUGCAGUGGGGAAUAUUGGACAAUGGGCGAAAGCCUGAUCCAGCCAUGCCGCGUGUGUGAAGAAGGCCUUCGGGUUGUAAAGCACUUUCAGUGGGGAAGAAAGCCUUGGGGCUAAUACCCUCGAGGAAGGACAUCACCCACAGAAGAAGCACCGGCUAACUCCGUGCCAGCAGCCGCGGUAAUACGGAGGGUGCGAGCGUUAAUCGGAAUUACUGGGCGUAAAGCGCGCGUAGGCGGUCUGAUAAGCCGGUUGUGAAAGCCCCGGGCUCAACCUGGGAACGGCAUCCGGAACUGUCAGGCUAGAGUGCAGGAGAGGAAGGUAGAAUUCCCGGUGUAGCGGUGAAAUGCGUAGAGAUCGGGAGGAAUACCAGUGGCGAAGGCGGCCUUCUGGACUGACACUGACGCUGAGGUGCGAAAGCGUGGGUAGCAAACAGGAUUAGAUACCCGGGUAAUC
rnacentral:rRNA from 1 species